rnacentral:precursor_RNA from 12 species
GUGACAGAGCUAAUAAAUGGCACCUGAUCCUGUGCCCAGUGUGGAAAAGGAAUCCUCUCAGUAAUCCACUUUCCAUCUCUGGGUACUGAUGCCGCUGCCUCCAGCACCACCACACACUU